CUUAAUAUGAUGUGUGAGAAUUAAAACAGCACGAUAAUUCUCGUCAGGUGUUAAAUGUGUAUUCCCGCCUUUAGCUUAGCGUUAGCUUAUCGUUAGCUUAGCAUUAGCUAAGCCAUAGCAUGAAGAAGUAAGUUUAUGUGAAUAUUACAUAAAUAAGGCAAUUUAAAAUAGUUUGUUGUGGGAAAAAAUUAAUUAAAAUAGCUUAAUAUGAUGUGUGAGAAUUAAAACGGCACGAUAAUUCUCGUCAGGUGUUAAAUGUGUAUUCCCGCCGUUAGCUUAGCGUUAGCUAAGCCAUAGUGUGAAGAAGUAAGUUUAUGUGAAUAUUACAUAAAUAAGGCAAUUUAAAAUAGUUUGUUGUGGGACAAAAAUAAAUGGCCAUCUUCAACAUUUUCUGAGAUUUCUAAUUUGUCUUUUUCUACUUGUGCAGAUGGAGUCAUGAAAUGUGACGGGACAGCCACCGAGGACUUCAUACUUCGGAGCAUCUCAAACAUGCACCACAAAGACAUGGAGGACACACCGCUGUCUCUCAGGACCUAGAAUCUUAAUGAAAGUAUAAUGAUGUUAAGGGAAGGUGUAGUGGAAAGGUGUGAUAGUGUUGAGGGAAGGUGUAAUGUUAAAGGUGUGAUAGUGUUGAGGGAAGGUGUAAUAGUGUUGAGGGAAGGGGUAAUGUUAAAGGUGUAAUAGUGUUAAGGGAAGGUAUAAUAUUGUUAAGGGAAGGUGUAAUGCAGGGGUCUCAAACUCAUUUUUGCCGAGGGCCACAUUGACAUAUUGGCUGUCCUCUGAGGGCCAGAUGUAACUUACAAAUAUAAGAAAAUGUAACCAGAUGUAAUAUAAAAUGAAUGUAAUUACUCCUUAAUGUUAAAUAACUCUCAAUAUACUAUUUAUCCAAUCAAAUAUUACAGUUGCAUGGAAAAAUGUUUGCUUGUUGCUCUAUUAACAUAAAUCCUUUUAAUUUGUCAUGUUAUGAAAUCCAAAAACUCCAUCAAUCAAGAACCAAACUAUUCAAGUGAAUAGAAAUUACAUCAAGUACAAGUUAUAUUAACUUUGAUCAAAACGUUUGAUACUGAAAUAAGGCUUAAUAAAUAUAAAAUCAAAAACUGUGAGCUGUGACAGAUUUAGCAUUUCCUCAGAUUUAGCAGUUCCUCAUCCAACCACUAGUCGGAGCUGCAGCUGCAGCACCACAAGCCCGCAGUCUUUGCUUAGUCAGAGCUACAGCCCAGCCACGGGCUACAGGACUCAGCUGAGCCAGUCUGGAGCGUUUUGAAAUUUUUUAAGUUCUUCUGUGUAUGAAAUAAAAUAACCCCACUAACCGGAUAAUACAGCUCUCUACAGUUCAUCUUUCAGCCCAAGCAGCUAACAGCAGCAGUUUAGAGCAGCGUCACGGAGGCACUGCUGGGAUUACAUUAUAAACAGGUCAGUUAGCGCUGCUAACCUCAGGAUGUUUAUAACUACGGAGUUUAGUGAACACACCACGGCAGCAAGGUUAGACUGUUGAAGGCUACUGAAGACUACUAAAGCAGGCAACGCAGCGUAAGCAAAAAAAAAACAAAAACCACACACACACACACCAAAAUACAAGUUAAGAUAAAAUAUGAAAACGAACAUAAUAAAGCAUAAAUAAUUAAAUUGAAUUGCGGGCCAGAUGUAUGUUUAUUUUGUUAACCCGUGAGGGGCCGUAUGAAACCGCGUGGUAAUAGUUUUGAGGGAAGGUGUAAUGUUAAAGGUGUAAUAAUGUUAAGGGAAGGUGUAAUGUAAAGGUGUAAUAGUGUUGAGGGAAGGUAUAAUAUUGUUAAGGGAAGGUGUAAUGUUAAAGGUGUAAUAGUGUUAAGGGAAGGUGUAAUGUUAAAGGUGUAAUAGUGUUGAGGGAAGGUGUAAUGUUAAAGGUGUAAUAGUGUUGAGGGAAGGUGUAAUGUUAAAGGUGUAAUAGUGUUAAGGGAAGGUGUAAUGUAAAGGUGUAAUAGUGUUGAGGGAAGGUAUAAUAUUGUUAAGGGAAGGUGUAAUGUAAAGCUGUAAUAGUUUUAAGGGAAGGUAAAUGUUUAGUGAAAUUGUUAUGGUGUGAAUCUAAGGUGUAUGUUAUGUUGAUGUAAAAUAAAGGCAUUAACCCCAAAUGAGAUUUACUCAUUAUUUUUAUUAUUAUAUUAAUGUUUCCCCAAACAGAAAGGGUCAAUUUAAAAUCAACAGUGGUAAGAUGGGGGUAAUUAAUUUAUCCCUUGCUUUUACUGGU